rnacentral:rRNA from 1 species
CAGUAGCCGCGGUAAUACGAAGGGUGCAAGCGUUAAUCGGAAUUACUGGGCGUAAAGCGUGCGUAGGCGGUUUGUUAAGUCUGUUGUGAAAUCCCCGGGCUCAACCUGGGAAUGGCAAUGGAUACUGGCAAGCUAGAGUGUGUCAGAGGAUGGUGGAAUUCCCGGUGUAGCGGUGAAAUGCGUAGAGAUCGGGAGGAACAUCAGUGACGAAGGCGGCCAUCUGGGACAACACUGACGCUGAGGCACGAAAGCGUGGGGAGCAAACAGGAUUAGAUACCCCGGUAGUCCCUGUCUCUUAUAC